GAUGAACGCUGGCGGCGUGCCUAAUACAUGCAAGUCGAGCGAACGGACGAGAAGCUUGCUUCUCUGAUGUUAGCGGCGGACGGGUGAGUAACACGUGGAUAACCUACCUAUAAGACUGGGAUAACUUCGGGAAACCGUAGCUAAUACCGGAUAAUAUUUUGAACCGCAUGGUUCAAAAGUGAAAGACGGUCUUGCUGCCACUUAUAGAUGGAUCCGCGCUGCAUUAGCUAGUUGGUAAGGUAACGGCUUACCAAGGCAACGAUGCAUAGCCGACCUGAGAGGGUGAUCGGCCACACUGGAACUGAGACACGGUCCAGACUCCUACGGGAGGCAGCAGUAGGGAAUCUUCCGCAAAGGGCGAAAGCCUGACGGAGCAACGCCGCGUGAGUGAUGAAGGUCUUCGGAUCGUAAAACUCUGUUAUUAGGGAAGAACAUAUGUGUAAGUAACUGUGCACAUCUUGACGGUACCUAAUCAGAAAGCCACGGCUAACUACGUG
rnacentral:rRNA from 1 species